GGACGGGUGAGUAAUGCCUAGGAAAUUGCCUUGAUGUGGGGGAUAACCAUUGGAAACGAUGGCUAAUACCGCAUAAUGCCUACGGGCCAAAGAGGGGGACCUUCGGGCCUCUCGCGUCAAGAUAUGCCUAGGUGGGAUUAGCUAGUUGGUGAGGUAAUGGCUCACCAAGGCGACGAUCCCUAGCUGGUCUGAGAGGAUGAUCAGCCACACUGGAACUGAGACACGGUCCAGACUCCUACGGGAGGCAGCAGUGGGGAAUAUUGCACAAUGGNNNNAAGCCNGAGGGNNNCCAUGCCGCGUGUAUGAAGAAGGCCUUCNNNNUGUAAAGUACUUUCANNUGUGAGGAAGGGGGUGUCGUUAAUAGCGGCNUCUCUUGACGUUAGCAACAGAAGAAGCACCGGCUAACUCCGUGCCAGCAGCCGCGGUAAUACGGAGGGNGNGAGCGUU
rnacentral:rRNA from 1 species